rnacentral:rRNA from 1 species
UAGGGAAUCUUCCACAAUGGACGCAAGUCUGAUGGAGCAACGCCGCGUGAGUGAAGAAGGUUUUCGGACCGUAAAGCUCUGUUGUUGGUGAAGAAGGAUAGAGGUAGUAACUGGCCUUUAUUUGACGGUAAUCAACCAGAAAGUCACGGCUAACUACGUGCCAGCAGCCGCGGUAAUACGUAGGUGGCAAGCGUUGUCCGGAUUUAUUGGGCGUAAAGCGAGCGCAGGCGGAAGAAUAAGUCUGAUGUGAAAGCCCUCGGCUUAACCGAGGAAUUGCAUCGGAAACUGUUUUCUUGAGUGCAGAAGAGGAGAGUAGAACUCCAUGUGUAGCGGUGGAAUGCGUAGAUAUAUGGAAGAAUACCAGUGGCGAAGGCGGCUCUCUGGUCUGCAACUGACGCUGAGGCUCGAAAGCAUGGGUAGCGAACAGGAUUAGAUACCCUGGUAGUCCAUGCCGUAAACGAUGAGUGCUAAGUGUUGGGAGGCUUCCGCCUCUCAGUGCUGCAGCUAACGCAUUAAGCAC